rnacentral:rRNA from 1 species
UACGUAGGGUGCAAGCGUUGUCCGGAAUUAUUGGGCGUAAAGAGCUCGUAGGCGGUGUGUCACGUCGGCCGUGAAAACCUGCAGCUUAACUGUGGGCGUGCGGUCGAUACGGGCAUCACUGGAGUUCGGCAGGGGAGACUGGAAUUCCUGGUGUAGCGGUGAAAUGCGUAGAUAUCGGUAGGAACACCAGUGGCGAAGGCGGUCUCCUGGGGCAUUCUUGACGCUGAGGCGCGAAAGCUGGGGGAGCGAACGGG